UAAUGAUAAAAAAAAAACAGAAAUCUCAACACCAUGCAAUUCGUUCUCAAUAUGCAAUCUUGCAAAUUUAUCACCACCAAAUUCGAGCAGAAGAUCGAUUUGUUGUGUCAGCUGAAUAAUUUGUUGUAACAAAUAGAGUAAUCUCUAGGACAUGUAGUAUGGCACUAAAGAUCGAGGCCAGCUUACAGUUAAGGAACCUAACAAAGCCUCCAACAAACCAGAAACGUAGAGACGGACCCUGUUAUUGCAAUUCAACAAACUUGGGAUAGCUGAUCCUAGAAAUUAUAAACACGACGAUAAAUUUGUCUUUUUAUUUUUAAAUUUGCUGAAAGAAUAUGAGAAAAGAUUCAAAAACAUAGAUAAGAUACCUGAUUCAGAAACAUUUCCUUAGAUCGGGAAGUCAAGGAUGUGCAAUUGAUAGCAUAAUGAUAUUUUAUAUUUGAUGGCACAAGUUUUCUUGCAUUCAUUCAAAAAAAA
rnacentral:lncRNA from 1 species